rnacentral:rRNA from 1 species
AUGCCGCGUGCAGGAAGACGGCCUAUUGGGUUGUAAACUGCUUUUAUCUGGGAAGAAAGGGGCCAAUGCGUGGCAAAUUGCCGGUACCAGAUGAAUAAGCACCGGCUAACUCCGUGCCAGCAGCCGCGGUAAUACGGAGGGUGCAAGCGUUGUCCGGAUUUAUUGGGUUUAAAGGGUGCGUAGGCGGCUGAUUAAGUCAGCGGUGAAAGACUCCGGCUCAACCGGAGCAGUGCCGUUGAUACUGGUUAGCUUGAGUGCUGCAGGGGUACAUGGAAUUGAUGGUGUAGCGGUGAAAUGCAUAGAUACCAUCAGGAACACCGAUAGCGAAGGCAUUGUACUGGGCAGCAACUGACGCUGAGGCACGAAAGCGUGGGGAUCGAACAGGAUUAGAUACCCUGGUAG